CCGGAUAAGGGGCUUCAACAUUUACGGCCGGAUGGACCUCCACGGGCGCAACCUCAGCCGGAACCACCAACGGGACGGCUGGAGUCUCAGUUACCAUCUCCACUUCGCCACCCUCCGGACGAGCGUCGUGGGCAGAUAAGCAACUAACUUCAAUCUCUUGCUGCCGCUCUUGAAGCCGCCCAUCGAGUCCGGACCUCAGAUUGCGCACCGAGCGAGGCCUCUUUGAAGGUGGCCCCUUCACCAGAACAAGAGCCAGGCGGUCCGGAUCGUCAGAGGGCUGACUCUGGCUUUCUGCCCCUGCUUCCUCCAUCGGGGCCGCGCAGGUGGCUUCGACUGCAUUGACAUCCGGA
rnacentral:lncRNA from 1 species